CUUAGCCCUAAACCUCAAUAAUUCAUAACGAAAUUAUUUGCCAGAGAACUACUAGCUACCGCUUAAAACUCAAAGGACUUGGCGGUACUUUAUAUCCACCUAGAGGAGCCUGUUCUAUAAUCGAUAAACCCCGCUUUACCUCACCACCCCUUGCUAAUGUCAGCCUAUAUACCGCCAUCUUCAGCAAACCUUUAAAAAAGAAUAAAAGUAAGCAAGAGUAUACCCAUAAAAACGUUAGGUCAAGGUGUAGCUAAUGAGGUGGGAAGUAAUGGGCUACAUUUUCUUAAUAAGAACAUUAACGAAAUUCUUUAUGAAACUAAAGAACAAAGGAGGAUUUAGUAGUAAAUUAAGAGUAGAGAGCUUAAUUGAAUAGAGCAAUGAAGUA
rnacentral:rRNA from 1 species